rnacentral:rRNA from 1 species
AACGAACGCUGGCGGCAUGCCUAACACAUGCAAGUCGAACGAGACCUUCGGGUCUAGUGGCGCACGGGUGCGUAACGCGUGGGAACCUGCCCUUAGGUUCGGAAUAACUCCCCGAAAGGGGUGCUAAUACCGGAUAAUGUCUUCGGACCAAAGAUUUAUCGCCUUUGGAUGGGCCCGCGUUGGAUUAGCUAGUUGGUAGGGUAAAAGCCUACCAAGGCGACGAUCCAUAGCUGGUCUGAGAGGAUGAUCAGCCACACUGGGACUGAGACACGGCCCAGACUCCUACGGGAGGCAGCAGUGGGGAAUGUUGGACAAUGGGUGAAAGCCUGAUCCAGCAAUGCCGCGUGAGUGAUGAAGGCCUUAGGGUUGUAAAGCUCUUUUACCCGGGAUGAUAAUGACAGUACCGGGAGAAUAAGCUCCGGCUAACUCCGUG